CAGUAGCCGCGGUAAUACAGAGGGUGCAAGCGUUAAUCGGAAUUACUGGGCGUAAAGCGCGCGUAGGUGGUUUGUUAAGUUGGAUGUGAAAGCCCCGGGCUCAACCUGGGAACUGCAUCCAAAACUGGCAAGCUAGAGUACGGUAGAGGGUGGUGGAAUUUCCUGUGUAGCGGUGAAAUGCGUAGAUAUAGGAAGGAACACCAGUGGCGAAGGCGACCACCUGGACUGAUACUGACACUGAGGUGCGAAAGCGUGGGGAGCAAACAGGAUUAGAUACCCCCGUAGUCCCUGUCUCUUAUAU
rnacentral:rRNA from 1 species